rnacentral:lncRNA from 12 species
GAGUUAGUGGUCUUGGCUUCUCUUCUCUGGUGGUGACGGCCUGGGGAACCGCCAACAUGGAGCUGUCCUGCUUCAAUUCACACUCAUCUUCCCUGUCUCAUGGGUGUGAAAUUAUAAGCUCCGAGGACACCUUCAUUCACAUUUUACAAGACUUCAGCAGCUUGUCAGCCAUUGAUCAGUCCAGGCUUUUAUUGCAUGGAAAAGAGCAGCGUGAACAUCCUUCAAAAUGCUUUGGACCAACAUGAGGUUUCCACACAGUUCAGAGAUGCCAACAGCCGACGCUCCCCGUGUUACAUGGGUUGCUUGGAAACCAGCGCAUUGGGAGCAUGUAGUGCAACACACAGAGGCACAGGAUGCAGUGUGUACAGAAAAACAGGCACUCAAAGCACACGUGUGGACAGCAUCCUCCAGACGCUCAUGAAGAUGUCCCACGGACUUCAGUUCAAUCAGUGUCUGCUAGAUUUUUACAAUGCUGGAUUUUGCCCAUCUGUUGGUUCACACAGUCCCUCCGGUCGUGGUGUCCCGUGGACGGAUCAGAGAUGUCAUCUGGUUGUCUCAAUUUGUGGAGUUUGGACUUUGGCCGGCCUCACCUCCUCCCGCUCAGAGGAUAAAGCCGGAUCAAGAUCACAUCCCUUCUAG